AGGGUCACCACGGUGUCCCCAGGGUGUCCCCAGUGUCCCCAGGGUGUCCCCAGGGUGUCCCCAGGGUGUCCCCAGUGUCCCCAGGGUGUCCCCAGUGUCCCCACGGUGUCUCCAGGGUGUCCCCAGUGUCCCCACGGUGUCCCCAGUGUCCCCACAUGUCCCCAAGGCCAGGACAAUGCAGGAUCUGUGUCCCCACGAGUGGGAUUGGGAAUGGGGUGAGCUCCUUGUCCCCCCAGUGUCCCCACGUGUCCCCAGGGUGUCCCCACGUGUCCCCAAGGCCAGGACAAUGCAGGAUCUGUGUCCCCACGAGUGGGAUUGGGAAUGGGGUGAUCGUGGUGUCCCCCCAGUGUCCCCCCAGUGUCCCCAGUGUCCCCAGGGUGUCCCCCCAGUGUCCCCAGGGUGUCCCCAGGGUGUCCCCAGUGUCCCCAGGGUGUCCCCAGGGUGUCCCCAGUGUCCCCAGGGUGUCCCUAGGGUGUCCCCAUGGAGUCCCCAGGGUGUCCCCACGAGUGGGAUUGGGAAUGGGGUGAGCUCCUUGUCCCCACGGUGUCCCUAGUGUCCUCACGGUGUCCCCAGGGUGUCCCCAGUGUCCCCAGGGUGUCCCCAGGGUGUCCCCACGUGUCCCCAAGGCCAGGACAAUGCAGGAUCUGUGUCCCCACGAGUGGGAUUGGGAAUGGGGUGAGCUCCUUGUCCCCGUGGUGUCCCCAGGGUGUCCCCCCAGUGUCCCCGGGGUGUCCCCAGUGUCCCCAGGGUGUCCCCAGGGUGUCCCCAGUGUCCCCAGGGUGUCCCCAGGUGUCCCCAAGGCCAGGACAAUGCAGGAUCUGUGUCCCCACGAGUGGGAUUGGGAAUGGGGUGAUCGUGGUGUCCCCAGGGUGUCCCCAGUGUCCCCAGGGUGUCCCAGGGUGUCCUCAGGGUGUCCCCAGUGUCCCCAAGGCCAGGACAAUGCAGGAUCUGUGUCCCCACGAGUGGGAUUGGGAAUGGGGUGAUCGUGGUGUCCCCAGGGUGUCCCCACGGUGUCCCUCCAGUGUCCCCAGGGUGUCCCCAGUGUCCCCACGUGUCCCCAAGGCCAGGACAAUGCAGGAUCUGUGUCCCCACGAGUGGGAUUGGGAAUGGGGUGAGCUCCUUGUCCCCGUGGUGUCCCCAGGGUGUCCCCAGGGUGUCCCCAGGGUGUCCCCAGUGUCCCCAGGGUGUCCCCAGGGUGUCCCCAGUGUCCCCACGUGUCCCCAAGGCCAGGACAAUGCAGGAUCUGUGUCCCCACGAGUGGGAUUGGGAAUGGGGUGGGAUCUCAGCAGGACAAGGAGCUCCAUUGAGGCAGAGCCCCACGGGGGUGGGUGACAGGUGACAUCUCACUGCUGCCACCCCUGCUGCCACCUCCCUCAAUCCCGUGGCAAUUCCAUCAUUCAGCCAAUUCUGGAAGGAAAAAUUCCCCAAAAUGUUGAAAUCUUCCCCCCUCCCAGUGAAAACUUCCCGCUGGGAAUGGGAUUUUUCCAGCUCUGGAAGAAUUAUUCUGGAAUAAAGCAGCUCUGAUCCUCCA